rnacentral:lncRNA from 1 species
GAUCAUGCGGCUUCAUUCCGUAAAGAUGCAAUCUGGGAAGAGAGCAUACGGUUGAAAUUCUUUGGGAUCCGUGCGACUUGAUUUGGCUUGGUUGGGAAGAUGGGAAUUGAAUUGUUUGAAACAGGGGAAUUAAUCCUAUUUGGAUGGGAAGAGGCCAAUGACUAGAAUUCUCUGAGAUCUGUGCAACUAUAGAUGAAUAGAUGAUAUACUUUGAGAUCUGAGAAAUAAAUGAUUGAAAAGUGUGGGAAGAGAAGUAGGUGAAUUUGGGAAGAAACGGGA